ensembl:lncRNA
GUCUCUACCUGGAGUUCUCUCCUUUGGAGUGUUUUGCAGGCCCUGAUCCUUGGGAUGGCCAAGAAAAUGCUGGAAAUUGGCUCAUGAUUUAUUCUGCGCUCUUAUUUCAUCUCAUCCUUUUAACACGGCACUUUGGUCUCCCUGCAGCUUGCUGGCCAAUUAGUCGAAUCAAAGGAGACACAUAGAAAUGCAGGCCUUAAAUGCAGCUCUGGUUCAGGCUUUGGUGGGAUCUGGACAGAUUCAUGCCCUAGAGGGUUGGGGAAUAACAUCUCCUUACCCUCCUCUGCCAGGCUGGACUUCAUCUCCUUCAUGUUCAAGAAAUCACCUCCCUGGGGGACAGGCAGCUCUCAAGUUCAGGAGCUUCUCUGUGAAGUGGAGAGUCUCUGAGCUUGGUGCAAAGAUGAAAGAGACUGGCCUUUUGCCACCUAAAAUAGUGAUAAAACUGCAUGAAUGGAAGCCCAAC